AGAUUGAACGCUGGCGGCAUGCCUUACACAUGCAAGUCGAACGGCAGCAUGACGUGUAGCAAUACACGUUGAUGGCGAGUGGCGAACGGGUGAGUAAUAUAUCGGAACGUGUCCCGUAGCGGGGGAUAACCUAUCGAAAGAUGGACUAAUACCGCAUACGCUCUACGGAGGAAAGCGGGGGU
rnacentral:rRNA from 1 species